GAUGAACGCUGGCGGCGUGCCUAACACAUGCAGGUCGAACGGAGUCCAGCCUUUAAGACCUUCGGGUCAAAGAGGGGAAGACUGAGUGGCGGACGGGUGAGUAACACGUGGGCAACCUGGCUCAUAGAGGGGGAUAACAGAGAGAAAUUUCUGCUAAUACCGCAUAAGCACACACUGCCGCAUGGCAGAGGGUGAAAAGAGAAUCGCUAUGAGAUGGACCCGCGUCUGAUUAGCCAGUUGGCAGGGUAAGAGCCUACCAAAGCGACGAUCAGUAGCCGAUCUGAGAGGAUGAACGGCCACAUUGGGACUGAGACACGGCCCAAACUCCUACGGGAGGCAGCAGUGGGGGAUAUUGCACAAUGGGGGGAACCCUGAUGCAGCGACGCCGCGUGAGUGAAGAAGUAUUUCGGGAUGUAAAGCUCUAUCAGCAGGGAAGAUAAUGACAGUACCUGAAUAAGAAGCCCCGGCUAACUACGUG
rnacentral:rRNA from 1 species